AUGUCCUCACGCAAGGGAUGCGGAGGUAACAAGGGCAAAGGUAAGGCCCCAGCAAAAAAGAGGCCAGCGCCACAACUUUCUCCAGAAAGUUCUUCCUCUGAUGAGGAAUCGUGGCCGAUAUGGCAGGAACUCAAGGAGAAGAUGUCCGUGCUUGAGGCGCAGAGCUUGGCAUCUGAGGUACCUCAGCAGAAAGAUACCUCCUCGUGCCAUCCAGUUAGGGAGACCAAAGGACGCAGGAAGACAAAAUUGAAGGCUUUGGCACAUGAUUUAACAACCCGAUUUACUGUUUUUGAGACUGCACAGGUGGCUGCAAGAGAGAGACAGCUUGCUGCAGACCUCGCUGCAUCCAGCAAAGUUUCGGUUCAGCAAGGGACCACUCACCCCGACACCAGGGAUUCGUCUGAGGCUGCGGCUGCGGUUAGGGAUGAAAGAGAAAUUGCAGAGGAAGUGGGGCCAAGCUCGGCCUGGGGUAACGAUGUAUCUCGGGUACCCAUUGGUUCUUCUGAGCUUGUUCUGUACAGAUGAUAACGACCUGCAUCAGGCAAGCAUGUAGCAAACUGUCCUCCCUUUCACUCGGCAGAGUUCAGCCAUCAUUCUGUCAUUCCUCGUCAUCCAGAGAAGCAAUUGCACUUCUGUUUUAAUGUAAGCCAGAGGAGAACUCGUGACAGUCAAGAUGAGGGUUAAUCAUGCUGUGAUGGUUUAAGGAGAACAUCAGUUAGUUAGGGUAGAAAUUUAGAACAGGUAACUGUGUUUGUUCAUAGAAGGAAAAUCAUUGAAACAUCUUGUGAACCUGUUACACUUUAGUGGGCACAAACGUUUGAAGAUUAUAGUCCUUUUUUUCAGAAGCAUGUAGAUAGACAAGCAUAGAAGGAAGGAGAAUUGCAAUGUAAUGUAAAGGAAAUUGUUGUUGUUGUUGUUACAUGCUGUCAAGUCACCUCCAACUCAAGGCAACUCUAUAAAUGAGAGAUCUCCAAAAUGCCAUGUCCUCAAUAGCCCUGCUCUGUUUUAAUCUAGUUAUGUCAUUAGCUACAGAGCUAUUCAUACUUGC
rnacentral:lncRNA from 1 species